UAUGGAUUAGAGAGUCUUUGCUGUAAAGGAGAGGGAGCUCAAAUGGCAUCAGUGUUAUCAAUUCAUCUGUAAGAAGUUCUUUAAGUGAUGCCUUCCAGUAAGCCGUCCGGGAGCUGAGCAACCCUGCCAUCAUCAGGCUCAGUUCAGCAAUGUAAAAUAGGGGGGGAGGUGGUAGCCACUCUGCAAGCCCUGCAAGGACUGCUGAUAGGCUGCAGCAGUUCCUCGCUACAGGCGCUGUGCAGCAGAGAUAUCGUAAGAAUUUGUAGUUAUCCUAGAAAGUUUCCCUGUGAGAAAUUUCCUAUUGAGUGCUGGAAUUUUUUUAGAUCAAAACUGAAAGGGAAAAAGCUAAAUCUGAAGGGAAAGGUUAUUAUUACAGUUCAUGAGCUGACAUUUUAUCUGAGGCCAUGCGAGAUAAAGAAAAGCGUUAGAGCAAAAUCACCCUGGGAAGUUUGGGCUGGUCUCGGCAAAUACUUUUAAAUAUUUACAGGAGACUUUUGCAGAUCACCUACUGGUUAUAUCUCCCAUCCUCAUGGGGCAGGAAUUAAAGCACAAGUUGGAUGAUCAAGGCCACGGAACACACAUCAUUUUAUUCCUCAGGCCAAGCCAGCUAACUAGAGGAAAAGGGAAAACUGAACCAAAACUGUACAUAAAGCUUGAACUGAACCCAAGGUUUACGUUGGGUAUUAGGAAAGGGUUCUUCACUCAGCGGGUGAUGGAGCACUGGAACAGGCUCCCCAGGGAAGUAGUUAGGGCACCAAGCCUAAAUAUAUUAAAGAACCACUUGGACAAUACACUCAGACAUAUGGUGCAAAUUUUGGGGUUGUCCUAUGCAGGGAUAGGAGUUGAACUCAAUGAUCCUUGUGGGUCCCUUCCAACUCAGGUCAUUCUGUGAUUCUUUAGAGCUUGAAAAAUUCUAUUCUCUGAGGAGUGAGGUGCCCUCACUUCAAAAGUCCUGUUGUCCUUCCUCGUCCUCCACCCCAAAAGCGUGUUGAAGAGGCAAAUCCGUCCUGCCCAGAAGCUUCCCCAGGAUAUUAUGGUGACUAAGAAAUGUACCUGUAGCAGCACAUAGACUCACAGCACAUACAGGCUGAAGGGUCAAUGCAGUUAUAAACAUUUAUGUGAACAAAGACAAAGAUCAGCUUCCUAACAGGAAAAUUAAUGUUUUUCACAGACCUAACAGACAGGUUUUUUUGUACCUCAUUUUUAUGAAGAAACCGGGUCUCCAGUGGGCUGGGUAUUACUUAACUAUAAAACCUUGCUGCCUUUCUACAAUGUUCAGUGCUACCUGUGCACGCUCCAGCGCGUAGGAGUUACAAAUGGCAAAGGUUUGAGCCACAGGACUCAGAACUGCUACCGUUUUUAGGCAGUGCAAUAGCAGUUUGUUUUCGUAGUGCUGCCGUGUGCCGUAGCUGUUCAUUGAGCCGGUGUUGGCACACAGAUCUCAGUGAGGUUUUAAGUCCCGCUAUUACAGAGAAUCCAAAUGCCUAAGCAGCCGAGGGGGAUAAGGAACAAAACAGCAUGAGGGAGAGGCAGGCAAAUUACCCAUCCCACGUACUGCCCACAUGCUGGGGUCGGAUUUUACCACUUGACUGAGUUACCUGGGCACAGCUGAGGUCGGAUUCUCCUCCAGCACAUUGAGAUAAUGUGAGAACAGACACGUGGUAGCACAGAGCAGAGGAAAGUCUCCCGCAGGCCUGCUGUGAGAAGACCUUUGGGGUGACCUUGUUUUGCUGCUCAGCUCCAACCUUGCAGGCAGCACUGAAAGUCCCUGCCGUCAGGCUGGUUGCUUGACAAACAGCGCAGCUUCUGCAGUGGGCUGGGUGUGAACUCCCGGGCUUUGCUACGCACUCCCUCUCCCCGUACUUCCCUGUGGAAACACCCUGUGUGAGGCAUGACUGUUGAACAACACUAGAAUAAAGAUGUAAGAAUAAACAUCACCAGGAACAUCCCUGACCACCAUCGGGUUUUACUUCCAUAACCAGGUGAACUUAAGCUAGACCUUUUUGCAAACUCUUUGAGAUUAGUGAGAAGGAUUUAUGAUUUAGAAGAAGAUGGGGAAAACAAAUAGAGAUUUCCUUAAAUAGUUGUCUUAUACUAGAGACCUAACAGCUGAACGGCCAAGAUUGGUGAGCUGGGUCAUGCUGCUCCCAUAGUGUUCCUGUGCUUAAGCAGACCACAGCUGCUGCUGCUGAAGGUGGUGUUGAUGCUUCCUGGAGUACUUUGCACAUAGGUGGUGUCAGUGUUAGGCUUAUGGAAGUGCAGAGCAUGUACACGUAGUUCAGGAUCAGUUUUUCAUCCCUAGAUGGGCAGCUGGAUAUUACUGUGAAGAUUGCUUUUGUUCUUAUACAGUGCCAUAGUGUUGUGAUGUUUUUUCACUGAUUUGUUUGUUAUAGAAUUGUUACAUUGGCCCAUGAUGGAAGAAAUCACCCAGUUUCUUCUCACUCAUGAAAUUACUUCCACACCUACAUAUUUCACUGUUGGUCUCAUGGUUACCAUUACCCAAGAUUUGUUGUUUGGUUAUGUCCAGAACCUGGAAACCUUAUUUAGCCCAAGCUCUGCUUUUCGCUCUGUCUGUGGACUUCUUUCAAAGUACGUGUCAGCUAAUGAAGCAAAGCCAGCCUGUUUUCAGAAUAUCAGCACUGUUAAAUAGAGGUUAGCACCUCUGUUUCAGGAUUUUCUAUCAGAAAAAGGCUGAGAUCUUCUCCUUUGGAAAAAUAAUUCUUUACUGACCCAGAGCGAGACAGUAAGUUCAACUCACAAAAUGAAAAGGACCAAGUCUACAACCUGACUGGAAUAUACAAUUUCUUUUCCUCUGUAAGAUUAAAUACAGAAAGUGUAAAUUCUGUAGACUGGUGCCUAUUUCACCUCUAAAUCCCAGUUUAAGCUGUGCCCAGCCCAUUGGAGUCCACCUGAGGACCCAAAGAGCCCAGAGGAGAUCUUUAGUGGCAGACCUUUGCCAGGACUGCCCAAGAACAAAGAGAGAGUGAUGAGUUUCUAUACAGACAACAUAUAUCAUGUAAACGCAUCAGCAAAGAGAUGACAAGAAUAAACUGGGAAGUGUCCUGAAUGGAAAUGAGCUUAUUUCCCACUGACAUUAAUUCUUCAUGAAGUAUGCAUGCUAAUUAGUGUUAAUCCACAAAGAAAUGCUUAGAAAAUUAUCCGUUACAUCUCCAGGGUGAAAAGGUCUCAGUUGUGAAACUGAAUGCUAAUGGUAUCAUCUUUGAUUUACCAGCAGUCAUCAGGUUCUACACCAAAGGUCAGGAAUAAAUCUUCAGUUUGUAAGCUGUGAGAAAGAAAUGUAUAAACACUUUAAUUUAUUGCCCUGUCACUGUUAAUUCAUUUGGUAUUCACUGUGAUAACAUUGCUGCUAAUGAAUGUAUUUGGUAAUAAUGUGGCUGUCAUAUAUAUUUAUGCUCUCAUCUCUCUAAUCUCGGGUGCCGUUUUAUUUUUUUAUAAAUAUAAGGGGGAAAAGAAAUCAUAUUUUUUUUCAAAGAAGUUCUUAACAAAUAUAUAUCACACGUAGCUUCUCAAAAUGAGGACUGAGGAAGUAGGACUGAACACAAAAUGAUAGUUUGGAAUCGACUGAAGCCAAGGGGAAAGCAUUCUUUGUCUUGCAGAGGCAACAGCUCAGAUUCCAGUCAAAAUAUGUAGAUCAGGUGGUGUUUGUUAAAUAUAGUUAAUAAAUAAAUAAAUAUCAUGUUGGUAUAUUUUGUGUAUAAACAAGAGUUGAGUAAGGAAUGGAAAAAAGUGCUCUUGGAUGUCUUUUUCAAAUCCUGAAUAAGCCAGAAAAGGAACCAAGAAAAGAAUCACAGCUAAGAAAUUUGUACCUAUAUGGAGCCUUAGCUUAUAAAAAUCUCCUAAACGCAAGUUAACCUUGAUUUUUUUUGAGCAAUCAGGUGGUAUAUAUAUAAAUUUUUGCUGACUCUUUAUAUUAAGGUGAUUUUCCACACAUUUUAAAGUUAAACACAAAUACUUCGUAAUCCUUUUAGACAUAUUUUUAGCCUGUGCUCUGCAGAUCACACCACAGUGCCUCAAAACCUGGAGGGUUUUUUUUUUGGUUAUAGUCAGCAGAAGCCUUGCUGUUAGUUUCAAAGGCUCCAUGACCAGGAUUAUAACCAAUUCAUUAUUUUUGGAAUCUAGUCAUAAGCAAUAUAAUAAUAAAAAUAGGGAUAAAUAGCAAAUACCUUCCUUGUUCUGAAAUACUGACUCAGAGCAGGAGACCCUGAACUGAGAUCACAUAACACGACAUUAUGAGGCAGCUGCUGACUGUUUGUGCAUAGCAACCCAAACAAAUGCCUGGAAAAUGCUUAUACACCAUCGUUAUUCUUUUAUUGUUAUGUAAUAAUGCAUCAUUCCUCCUACUUUUAAAGACUAAGCGAGAAUCAGACUGUUCUGUUAGUAUGGUUUUUCAUCUCUUUUGAUGAUAAAAAUCCUACUCCGUUAAUGCUUUGAGUCCAGCUCAAUAGAACUGAGCAGAGGGAGGAAAAUAAAUGACUACAAAUACACUUUAGAAACCUCUACUCUGACCUAAACCACCUUGCCUAUAAAUCAUGAUUUUGCCGUUUCAAAACCUGAUAUACUAUUGUAUACACGGGCUAAGCCAAGCACGCGUCCCUAUCAUUUCCAAGGCUGGUUCCUGGGCCACAGGGAGCCCAGGAUCACCCUGGGGACAGGAGGAUGGGCAGUCAUCCUCUCCAGGGCCCUCACACAUCAUUUUUCCAUAGCUGUCUAUUAAUUACAGCACCUGUGGAUUGAUUGGUUUUGGAAAGUGCUGCAAUGAAUAAAAGGGGAUUUGUACUCAGACACCAGUCUGAGAGCUGGUGCUGCUCGGAGAUGUGCUGCCCUCUUGCCCCUUUGAAAAUGGGGUUCUUCUGAACUCAGUCGCACUUGCAAAGGGAGAGGGAAGGACAGAAAACCUGAUUUGGGUUUUUUUUUCAGUGUUUUCUUCUGAAAAGAUCACUAGUCUACCGUGAAUUAAUGUGUUCUAUAGAUUAAUUUUAUUCUUUGAUUAGGAAAACAUAAAUGUUCCCUUGAAGCCUUUUACAAUUUAUUGCCUCUUAAUUAAGAUGGAAAAGCAUCUAAAUACCCAAGUGGUGGAUGUAUUAUCAAGUAAUUUAUUAUUUUAUACUUUCCCAGCAUAUAUUUGAAACAUGGUGUCAUACCAGAUCUAAUACUUUCCUUUGGUGAAGCUCUGAAUGCCUUUGGAGCCUUUAGCAAGUGUUAGAUAUACAAAUAGAAACUGAAAUAUUUACAGCAUACUUAUUUAGAAGCUUAUGAAAUGUCAGACUUCUCUUCAGUGCAGACGUGACUCGUUGUGAAGGAGUCUUCUGGCUUCCUUUGUUACUACAUGAGGAAUUCAUUUUGGCAUCUCCCUUUAGGGCCAGUUUCUUUUAAGCCGUGAUUGCAUUAAUAAUACCAUCUCAUGGUGUAACUGAUUUAAUCCUUUUCGCAUAGGGGAAGAACUACAGCCCAAUCUAAUUUGCUACUUAUCCAUAAUCGGCAAAGCUACAGAGUAAAGGACAUUAUUUUCUCUCAACUUUUCUGUAUAGGUAUAUUAUUUUUUAUGGUUUGUACUCCUGAGGUAAUUGUGUGCCCUAAAUGAGAAAAUGCUUCAUGUAAAUGUCAUUUUAACACUAAACAUUGCACCGGUUUGUAGAAAAUGGUGUUACUUGACUAAAAAGCUGGUUUAGUGAAUACAUUUGGAAGCCAAAAUUGUUGAGGUUUUGUUACUAUUUUGCUCAGAUGCGAAACUGCUUUUCUAGCUGAAGAAUAAAAGGACACCUUGAUAUUUUCCAUGUAUAUAUACUGUAUUUUUUGCAUGCUUAAGCGUGCUAGUUUCUUUUUUUUUUUUAGGAUUAGCAAUGUAUCAAACAUGUUCGGAUUCUAAAAGAUUGUUAUGGGUGAUGUUCUUUGAAGUGCUGAGAAAAAGCAAGCUUAUCUUUUGCUUUAUAAAUAAGAUCUGCUUGAUGGGAGCUCAAACCACAAAUAAACGUGGCAUGGGGUCACCUAUAUAUUAUCUAAGAAAAGGAUAAUUUCUAAUGAGUUCUUUUCUCAAGAAAACCUACUCUCGUUUACAAUCAGUGAGCAAUGCCGACAGACAGCAGCUAUUCCUGCUUGGGAAUUUGAUGUACACCAAUGAGUCGAUGCCUACUGAAGGCACAAAGGAAUUUGUCUAUGCGUUACAUUGACAGCACCAAAAAUAUUGUCCAUGUCGUUACCACACAGUGACAGGAGGACAGGAUUAGCAGGGGCUGCUUUCCUUGUGGAACAACAAGCCAAGACCAUAGGUAAUAUCACGGAGAGCCUUGUCCGGAAGAACCACACGUCCUCAUAGAGGUAAUGAGAAACUCCCUUUCUUGCCCAGAUACAAUGCCUUUUAUAAUACGAUACAGGGUUCACGCGCUUACUUGUUCUAAUCCUACAGGUUACAGCUACAUGUUCAUGCGCUUCUAUUUACUUUAUAAUUUGUUCUAAGCUACUGUUCACGUGUAGUGACGAUCAUAAUUCCAUCCUCUUGUUUUUCCCUCUUGGGCAAGCUGACAAAUCUUCCCUUCUGCUCUUCACUUUCUCACAACAUUGUACUCCCUUAUUCCAAGGUCUCUGUUGUUCUGUCAAGGUCAAUGCAGGCUGGAUUGUGCACGUAGGCCUCGUAAAUAUGUCCUUGCUCCUUGAGCCAUUCUUCUACACAAUAUGGGUGCAAUCCUCAUUCUGUAAAAACUUAGGCAUACACGCUUUCCUCUCCAUACCAUAAAAAUAACUAGCUUUCCCAUGUAGACUUCCUCCAUUCUGUUAAUUUUUUCAUUGGUUUACUGCUACCAGGAACAUCUCUACUGGAUGAAACGUGAAGCUUGCAGAGGGCGGCACCACAGUCUGGAAAGCAGACCCUUUCUUCAGUGACCAACCAUCCUUCUGAGGUUUCUGGGGGUCUACCCAGAGCUAAAUUCUGCUGCAAUUUACCACCGAGUCACUGCCCAGACUGUUCAGCGUGAGCAGGUGAGGUUUUCCUGGGACAGAGUGGGUGGUGUCACUCCUAUACACAGUGCCUGUGUGUGACUUGCUGACCUGACCUCCAGACAAAAGGCAAUUUUAAGCAGAAAUGGAUCUUGUCUGAGUUCUAUUUCUUUCCUGCUUAACACUCUUUAUUUACUAAAUGAUAGCUGACGCUAUAAAUUUUUCGUGCUGAGUAUGCCACUAUUUUAAAUAAAGCCAGAAUCAUAUCUCAGUGAACACUAAGGUGUCUAAUAAGUUGAGUGGCUAUUUUUACUCACAGAAAUGGAAAAAAUGGAUUUUGAAAAAUGUAAGGGAAAGGAGGAAGACAGUGAUCUGAAGAUGCUGUAGGAAAAAGAGGGAGAAAUUCUUAAGACAAGCCAGAUCUCAACCAGAAUUUAAGUAUCUUCCCAAAAGCUAAAAAUUUCUCUGCAACAAUCAUGUUUUUAAUCCUCAGGAGUAAUAUAUUUGAAUAGCAUAUAUGAAGAAAUUGCAUCAGCACUGGCUGAGCUCUGUAUAGGAUCUGAAGGGGAAAAUAUGUCUAAUUAACAAGUGAUGAAAUACUGAAGAAAUCAGGUAAGUUCUUUUCCUGGCAAAGGUUGCUCACUGUCCAGCGGAGCUGAUGUUUCUGUGAAAGAGAUGUCCUCAAGUGUUCUGUUUAACAACAUUCACAAAAAAACAAGGUUGGUUCAUACAGUUUAUCCAGGCUGUAUUUUCAAGGGAACAUCACACAUGCCAAAAAGGGAACAUCCCACAUGCCAAAAAACAAAAAAUCACUUCUAGUGCUGUUUUGUUUCACCUGGGCUGGAGACAGAAGAGAGAAAUUUCCUUAAUGGCAGAUGGCAUCAAAAGAGCUCCAGGGACAUUUUUGGUGUUUCAAGCCCCAAGUGAUAACAGUUUCAUGUGAUUUCAUCACGCAAAACCAAAAUCUUAUGUAAAACAUCAGUCAGAUCAGUCUGUACUUUUUAUUUUCCCCCGUUUUUUGGUCCCAAGACUGAAAAGUGAUUUCUGAGUUACCUAAAAUUUAACUUUUCUCCCUCUGUCUUCAGGUUUAUGAACUACCUUUAUAGAUAUCUUUAGUUUACGUAACAAAAAGUGUAUGCCACCACCAUACUGUGGUGCUGUGCUGCUUUUAUUUCUUGAAUUAUUGUUUCUCAUGCAGAAUAUUUUGUGUUGAAUAAUGAGCUGUGCCUUGCAAAGAUUAUACCCAUACGCUUGGCCCAAACAAUAAUGACAGAGCAUUUGCACUGAAUCUUCCCCUCGCGCUUUCACUUAAAAAUCUCUAUGAAAACAGCUGACGAUCAUUCAUACUGACAUUUUAUUGCCAGUGGUCACACAACCACAUAUUGUCUCUUCUUUAAGGAGGUAAGUGCUGGGUAAUUUCAUGAUCAUCUCCGAAACUUUAGAGAAUGCUGGCAGAAAGUUAAGACAAACCAGAAAGUAAGUGCUAAAACCUCAAAUGAAAAGUCUGUAAAUUAGUUUGUAAGCUUGACUGGGAAGAUUUCAUUAAAGGUGGACAGUGCAUGGUUGUGGAGAUCUUCCAUGGGCCAGGUUGUCAGAGGUGUCUUAAAGUAUAUUUACCAGUGAAUUUCCACCAAUAACCAUUGGUAGUACUCAUGUGGUCCCACUUCAGCCACGUGCCUUAUCUGGGUAGGUUGAAGGGCUACUCUCCAUAGACUUCCUAGAGAGCCACUGGGGAGAGGUGGAGAACCAAAAAUACCGGUCCCAAUCUAGGGGAACACCUUCUGAAGGCGCUUGUCUUUUCUAAUUAAAUAUACCAGACCCUGAAGGACACUAAAAUUGGCUGAAUCCCUGCAGUGUCAAAGAUGAGUGUACUUAGUAGCUUAAUGUUAAUUUUAAGUUGUUGAGUUUUUCAAUUAUGUUUAUUUUCUGGAGAAAGGUUUUCUUUUUUCUUGAAAAUGUUGUAAGGAACUUGAAAUUCAGAAGAUUUCAACCAGCUGUAGUUCUUAUCUGAUGUCCUUUCACAACAAUACUGUGCCGUUGUCAGAAAUCUAUCAUCAUAUCUUGAUGAAAAAAAAAAUCCAUGUCAGAUUGUGUUGAUUCUGUGUAAGUAUAUUAAAAUAUUAGAAAUUACCUUGGCACUCUGAUGAUUAUUUUUCUCCUCUAAAAGCUGGAGAAAGGAUAAAGCAAACAUUGGACUGACUAUUUUCUCCUUCUGUUGUUCAAAAUAGUGACUGACCUUUCUUUGGAAUGAGAGCUCUAAAAAUGGUAUUCAUUGCUGGUGACAGGAUGGUGUUUGAGAUGCAGGCUCUAACCCAAUCAGUUACUCAGUCGUGGGACUAAGCUAUUUCUAUUGAACAGUAAGACGGAUUAAAUGCAGAAUGGCAUUAUAGGGAGAAAGAAAUGCAGAAACAUCACUGUUGUUUCUUGAAUGUAAUUUUAAGUAAAUGACCUUAAACUGCUCACAUGCUUGAAAGUAAAUCUCUGUUCUGCUUGGGUAGUGUUUCCACAGUGCUUAUUAUUUGCAAGCAAAUAUCAAUGAGACAGAUCCUGAAUUUUCAUUUCUUUUUUUUCUAUUUUCUGUCACGCUAGCAGUUCUUUAAAAACACAAGUCAAAAGUUAUAAUAAAGACUAUUUCAGGAAGGAGAUGUGCAUAACCUGCCAUGAGGCAGUGAUGGGUAUGUCAAUGCUGCUUAGGCUGGAGGAGGCACUAGGAUGCCCAAGCCAGCAGCUCCCCAGGCAGCACAUUCCCCCUUUCCUGGUUUGGGACCACAGAAGAAAGUGUGACACAUAGUGUAGUCACAACCACAGGCAAUGUUUGUUCUCAUUCAGGCUGCAGUAGUGACCAUACCUGGCAGGGAUCCCAAAACUGCAUAAAACCCGUGAUUUUUUCAUACUUUAUUUCCCUAUUCUACUGCUUAAUUCUCCUUUUCACUGCUCUUAUAUCUCCUUUUUUCCUUCCAAAGGACCCCAACCUGGCCCAGAGUAGAAGAGCAGGCAGUGCCUCCAACCAUGACUUGCGUCCCCAAGGCGGAAGGAGGUGACGAGAAGUCCAGAUGGGGUGGGAUCCAUGCCAGCAGAAAGAAGCACUUCUGAAAAUUUAUAAGGAGGUAAUUUUUUUUCCUUGUGUGCAUGACAGCUCUUACCCAUCCAGAAAGUGAGGGGGAGUGAGGAGAAAGGCCAGAUCAUGGGGACAUCACAUCACCCUGACCUUAGCACCCCCUGGGGACAUGCAAGAGCAUCACCUGCUGCUGCCUGAGGGCGUGGGGUGCCCAGUGCCUGCCCCUGGCAGAGCUGUGCCAUCGUAAUCGCUUCUCCUGGCUGAGACCAAUCACGUAUCCGGGCUGGGAAAUGGCUUGGCAGCCUCUGCCUUUGAUGAACCCGCUGUGCACAGGGCUCUUGGAGCAGCAGGAGCGAGUGGCUCGUUGGAAAUCUAUCACAGGCUGACGGCAAGCUGUGCAGCCUUCAAAGACGAGUGAUGCGCUGGCCAUUAGAUUAUUCUUUUAAAUUUUGAACUUGGACAAUGCACAGUGAUAAGAGCAUCACAGAGGUUUGACAGCAACUCAGAAAGCAUAUGCUCGAUGUUAAGCAUAUAGACAAUCACGCUUCUCCACAGGAAAGUACAUUUGGAAGAGCUUUGCCAGAGUCCCAGACAGGAUCUUCAAAAGGUCCUCUGAAUGCAUUCUCCUCAGUAUUUGGGUUUUUAGGUAAAACUGUAAGAGAAAAAAAUCAUCUCUAGAAAAGUGAAUUAUACAUACAGAAGCAGGGUAGUGAAUAUAUUUUGAAUGAAUUUGAGGACUCCAAUUUUUUUCCUAAAAAAUAAAGUUGGGAGGAUGCAUACCUGAACUAGCUGCCCAGGCUAGUAUGUAUUCAGUGAGUAGGUUCAGUGAAAAUAAUAGUCAUUCAUACUUUUGGAAAUAUUUAAGUGCUCCAUUUAUGUAUUUUCCAAAGUUAAUUAUUUAAAUUCUUUGAGUUAUUAAGCAUAAAAUGGCUUGAAAUUUACCUAAACAUUAAAAAGAUAUUAAAAAGAACUGAAUACAAUUAAAGUAAACUAAAAUAUUCUGUAAGGAUUGAAGGAAAACAUUAGGUAAGUCCACAGCUGUUUUAGAAAGAGUUUUGGCCUACUGCAACAAAAAAAUCCAUUAUUUGCACUAUUUCAGUGGAAGAUACCAUCAAGUAAAAUUAAUGUUACAUGUACCAAUUUGUAUUCUCCUUUUCUGCAGCAUAUUUAAUUUAUUAAGUCAAUGGAUAGGGUAUAAGUACCUUAACAUGAACAGAGAAUUACAUCUACAGUUCUUUCCAGCUGAUGGCUUUAGCAGAAUUAUUUCCAUGGGUUUUUAGCCUUCCCUUGGGAGCCUCAGCUCUGGCACCACUAACCCAUCACCCACUGCAGGAGCUGGGUUAGCGUAAGAAGGGCGUUUUGGCAGAGACAAUUUUCAGUGCACUGGUAGGAGCUGCAAUGCAGAGGCACCGGGCAGAGACUGAAGGAUGGAGAUCCAAGUCUUCAUGGCUGCCUGUUUUCUUCACGAGGAGCAUAGAGAUGGUGGCUCUUUAGAAGCUGAGGGAUGCUGUGAAACUGGGUUGAGGGUUGCUUCCAGCGGCAGGCAGAUAAGAACAGCAGUCAAGUCAGUGAUGGUGGCUGAGUUAAAAACGUUUCACCUGCUCCUUGCCCCCCUGUCUGUAAUAAAGUUUUAACAAAUGAGGGGAGAUUGCUUAAAGAGCCAUUUAAGCUUUUCUGCCUUCAAUCUUGAGAAAGUUGGUGGCUGUGCAUUCCCAAAGCUAUUUCUUGUGGGAGAACAGUUUUACCAAAAUGAAGUACCUACUCUGGGAGAUGCUGCCGCAUACUUCUAACGAAUGAGGUUUGAAGGCACGCAUAUCUGAUCUCCGGAAAAAAGGCAGACCUACUUAUGUUCUUGAGCAUGUGGUUAGCCAUGAGCUCAGCAAUGAAUUGAACCCUAGAAACCUCUCUUUCAUAAGAAGAAUCCAUUAAAUUUGUUUUAUGACUGCACAUCCCUAGCAUGUCAUGCUCCAUUCACAAUACACCGACAAAGUUAUUUAUUCUAUAAUGCCACAUUUUUGCUAUUUUCUGCUUCCGUACAAAGAGGGAUGCUGAGGGAAGGCUACUCUGAAAGGAGCCUUUGACAGUGACCUCUGCUCCUGCGCAACAUUCAGGCUACUCAGCAUAAAACCUUAAUGCAUUUGAAGUCCAUCAAGGGCUACCUGUCAUUUCUCCUCUUUCCUUCCUCAUGUUUGAACUCUUCUAUAUUGUGUUUAUGUCAAUUAAAUUCAGAAAAUCAUGUUCAAAUGAUGUUAAGGUUUUGAGACAAAGGUUCAAGUGCAGUCACUAAGCAAGGGAGAGCCAAAGGCUGAUGUUUCAUAGCUUUCCAUCUACCACAGCUAUGAAAGAAUUGGUUGUAACUAAGAGAGAAAAUCUCCUCACUUCCAAAGUGUUGUUCCAAAGGUGAUGUGCAGUCCUUCAAACAGGAUUUAUAAUUCUUCUUAAUAAACAGGACUGAUUAGUAGCACGUUUUUUAGCAAAAUAGUACACCUCUUGCUCUCUGGGCGAUCACAAAAAGCCAGGUUCAACAGCUGAGUUAAUGGUACAUCAAAACCAUUUCUCAAAGAGGGGAAAGUUCUACACUUGAAAACUAUGCUGAUCAGCCCCUAAACGCCAGGCCAUCCUUUAAACUGACCUCAGAGAAAUGCAGUGGCUUUCAGUUCCCAUCCCAGAUUCAGUGAAGAUGUUGUAAUCCCAGAGCAAAGCCAGGAAAUCUCAGCAAUUUCUGCUGUGGUAGUUCUCUCUGGAAGAAUUGAAACUGAUUUUAUGGGCCGUCAGAGCCCUUCCCUCCUUUGCAGCAAGCGGUCACUGUUCAAAACAUACCUGUGGAGGACAGUUACAGGUAUUGCCAUGAGCUUUGUUUCACAGAGGACAAUAAUAGUUGCUGUCUCCAAGUACCACAGGCUUCUUGAUAUUCUGGUCUGCCUGGACUAAGCAGAAUUGCUGUUCCUGUUCCCUUGGUGAGAGAGAGGUUUCCACAAAGAAUCUGAUGCAGUGCACACCUUAAUGUCUGCUGAGUAUCAUCAGGGACAUUUGCUUCAUUCCAGUUUUGCGGUUCAUCAGAAUUUCGUACAGAUCCUGAGUUCAUUUUUAUAUAUGUAUAUAAUUCUGAAGAUUAUAUUCCUUUUUUCUUCUUCCAAGAAACAAGGCAAAAAGCACAGUGAUAUUAUGCCAUUUGCAGCUUUGUCAUAGUAAGAAUAUUUAUUUUGCUGGCAGAUAUCAAAUACUUACUAACAGCAUCGUGAUACAUCAAAAUGAAGUGCUUUAACUGCUUCUACUUAUCUUCUAGCUAUCUUUUUGGGGGGGUUGAUGGGUUGUUUUUUUGUGCUGGCAUUACAGGAAUCAGUCUCAGUCCCUCAACAUUUAUUUCAAGAUGAAAAACAGUGUUAUUCUGUGGACAAUUUUCAACUUUCAUGUCAGCUGCAAUGUCUGUUCCCAUUGCUGAAAGGAAGAAAGCUGUGCUGUGAAAAUUUUGGACAGAAUUAGUCAUUGAAACUGACUUUUAAUAUUAAACUUCGACCUUCACAUUUUCCAAAUUUAUUUCAAAAAUAUGCUUUAAAACAGAUUUUUUUUCUUACUUUUAAACAUCAGUGGGUUUUUAGAGGUAUUUCUUUAUCAAAAUGCAAUAUAAGUAUGUAGUAUGUCACUGCUGUCAAUACUGACAGGUAUUUAUUUACCUGUCACUGCAGGUAAAUAAAUAAUGUAAAAUUAUCAUACAAGAAAAAAUGAAAUAAAUUUGAAAAUGAAAUUACAGUGCUUUGGAAAAGCAAGUCCUGCACUAAAAAUCUGGAUAUUCUGAGUAUAUCACAUGCAGAAAAUUUCAUUUCAAUGUUUUUCACUUUGUAGGACUUCUUCCAUUGCAAAUCGUAUAGCAAAAAAAGAAAAAAGAGAGAAUGUAAAUAACUCUUUCAAUAGAAAACUAGACAAAAAUAUCCAGCUGAUCUAAAUUUUCAGUUUAUAAUAUCAAAUGUUUUUUUGUUUGUUUACCUUUAAAGCAGCUUUUUCACCCAGUGAAGUUCCCCACACAAUGGCAUGUCAAGGAAAUAGUCCCUGUAAAAAGAUCUUAAGUGUCAGAUACUCCUCCGCCCUCAAAGCACCCUGACGAAAAGCGGCUGCUGACCAGUGCAUAUGAACAGUCUUGUCUUUUUCCCUCACAGAUCCAUGAGCUGCCACACAAAGUACAGUUUCUCAACACGUUGCAAGGAAGAUAUGUUCCUCUAUGUGUUUCGAGAGAUUUCUAAGCCAAGAGGAACCACCCGUGCUCUCCAAAGCACGUGUGAAGGACCACCUGUGCUCUCCAAAGCAUGUGCCCUCUCGCCCCUUUGACUCCUGCUGCACUACUGCAGCCCCAGCAGUGCUCUGCAAGAGUUGGUGUGAGGUUGGACCACAGAGGGGGUCCCAUCUGCCCCCUGAUCCCAACCCUGCCUCUAUCUUGGAUGAACAGGAGUGUUGUACAGUGCUGUUUGAGGGCAACUCGGGUCAGCAGCUGUAAUGGUCCCUCCAUUACCAGGAGGAAUGGCUCAGUGGGAGGAAAAGAUAAUGGACUACCAAAGAGGAGGGCUUUGAAGCUGGGGCUGCUCUUACAGCAUCCGUGCUCUAUGCUGUGACAGCCAGGCAGGAGGGGAGCUAGCACAAAAAUUGCCCAUUAAGGAAUCAAAAGAGUGUAUUGCCUCUUGCUGCUUUGAUCUUGUCUUCAAAGACACCUCGUGAGCCUCCUCUUCUGCAAGGCCAGGCCCCUGCCGAGCAUUGCCCGGCAUGGAGGAGCAUUGCUGGGGCUGCAGCAGUGCAGCAGCAGCAAAGUCAGGGAGAGGGCAGAUGCUUCCAGCUGCCCACGUGGGGGUUUCUUUCAGCCCCCAGCCCGCUUACGAGAUCAGUGCCAGGUUUAUUGGCUACAAACACAAGAGUCAAAGCCAUACAGUUCGUGAAUUAGGUCCUAAGCCCAUGGAAUUGCACAGAAGGAGGUGUGGAAGAUUACUGGGGCUACCCUUUUUCUCUAACGUGGGUGUUGCUUCCCUCCACCCUUCAAGGACAACACACAUUCACGGUUACCGUAGCUGAGUGCAAUUGGUCCACCAGAUUUUCUACCAGCUGUCAGCAGGGUCUUGCUGCAGCCUCCAAAGGCCAUUUGAACUCCCUUGCAGCUCCUGCCUGUGGUAGUAGUGGGUUUGAGUGGCAUAGGGGUGAUUUGUCCUCUCUGCUACAGGCACCGUGCAGGCAUCAUGGCCAGCAUGGCCAGGCCAGUGAGCAGCCGUGUCUCAAUGUGCCUGGGAGACCGGGGAGUUGUGGGAGAAACCACCUCUCAAGGUGAACGGAGAGCUGUUUUCCAGGCAAAUUCGGUCCUUCUGUUGGUGUAGAUGCCUGUAGCAUCCAAAAGGUCGAGAUGAUGCGUUGAUGGACACACAGCCACUCAGCAAAGCUUGCAGAGUGUCCACUUUUUACCUCCAACCUCAACCGCAGUGAACUGAAGGCAAAAAUUUUCACAUGCCACAUUUGUCAGCUGCUCAGUUCAAAAUGAUAAAACGUAACGUCAGGCUGACCUGAUCUGUAGCAGCUGGGGGUAAGCAGGGUCUGGAGUAUGGCUCCUCUGUGCCAUCCCCUGAACCACUCCUACAUGAUGGCAUCAGGAUGCCCUGUGGCUGCCUGGGUGCACGCGAUUCCUAGACACAGACGUGUCUUCUUGCUACAACUGUUUACUGAGAGAGCCUAGAUAGCCAUUUCAUCCUGACUGCUGGAAGCAAGUUAGCAUCAUGUACUUCAGCAUUGCCUUGUUCCCAGAUGUCUGCAAGUAACAACAAAGUGCAGCCUAAAUAUAUUCCUUUAACUUCCUUUCAAGCUAUUUUCAGGGUCUUUGAAAUAGUAGAACUUUACUCGUACCACCAUUAUGCACUGAAGUUUACAAGAUAAAAACGUCACGGUGCUUGAAUAGUUCUGGGGUUUAAUACUACGAGGACUUUCUACGGUGUUUCUGUCAUCUACAGCACAAGGAGAGAACACGUUUACAGGAGCUCUCCAAUGUCAUGCUAAUAGGCUUGUUGAUGCAAGUGCACUUUAUCCACCUUAGUCAUACAGGAAAAAUACUGUCUUUCAAUCUCACAAAAUAGUCUUUAAUAAGAUAAAAGAUCUUGGGGUAUUAUGGACAAAAUUCUCACGCUGGAAAAAACAAUGUUUCUGCAAGGACGAUUCAUCAGCCAGCUGCAUUGCAGCUUGGAGUGGGGACAUACAAUAUUUCACCACUGGUUGUUCUGUAAUACAAGCAUAUAUGAAAAAUAUCUUAGGAGAAUUAUAAAGGUCUAUCUUAACUGUUUGCCUUUGAAUGAUCAGAAAACCUGAGUCAGCCGAUGGAGCACUUGUAUCCAUCACACAGGUGUCUGGUGGUGAGUUGCAUCUGGCAGCAAUCUUGCACCAGUCCCAGAACAGCGUCUUCGGGCUCUGUGCUCCCGAGCUGUGCCGGGAGUCGGCGUGGGACCAAGGCAGUGGAGAUGGAUGUGCGCACCAGGGAGCCUUAUAUACUCUGCCUGAGAAGGUUUCAAAAGCAUCUGCUGGUUUCUACCAGUGAAACACAGAGGCAUCAGUGCACCUACAUCUCUCCUCCACUGAAAACCCUUCUUCUAAACAAAACAAAAUGCCAAUGAAGCAAAGUCAACUCCAAUCAAGCUGGGAAGAGAAAAAUAUAUGGGCAGUGAAAAACUAGUCUGUUCUUUCCCCCCCUCCCAGCUGCCACGUACUCUGAACCAGACUGUUUGUAAAAAAGGUACUUGCACUGCACUGGGAGAAUUCAUGCUAUUUUCAAUCUGUAUGAUGAAAAAGACCCUUCUCGCAGGAGUAUUUGCUCGGAGAAUACCAGCAAAAUGAACGUGACCGAUGUGCAGCAUACGAUACAAUAUUUCCAGUGACUUUGAGGCAGUACGGUAUUUCCAUGUAUGCCAAUGAGAACACAGCCCAUCAAAGACAACUUAACCCUAACCUACAGCAAGGGCUGCCCGGAUGUCAGUGGCGGCUGUGGGAGAGAUUUGGGAACAGGCAUUUAGUAGCAGCCAGUGCACACCUGAGA